UCAGACGAUGCGUCAUGCAUAUCAAUAAGCGGAGGAAAAGAAAUUAACAAGGAUUCCCCUAGUAACGGCGAGUGAAGCGGGAAGAGCUCAAAUUUGAAAUCUUAAAGGGUUUCCCUUUACGAAUUGUAGUUUAAGGAAGUGUUUUCUGUUGAGGUUUUGGUAAAAGUUCUUUGGAAUAGGACAUCAUAGAGGGUGAGAAUCCCGUAUUUGACCUUUACUUUCAACUUUGUGAUACACUUUCAAAGAGUCGGAUUGUUUGGGAAUGCAGUCCAAAAUGGGUGGUAAAUUUCAUCUAAAGCUAAAUAUUGGCGAGAGACCGAUAGCGAACAAGUACCGUGAGGGAAAGAUGAAAAGAACUUUGAAAAGAGAGUUAAACAGUACGUGAAAUUGUCAAAAGGGAAGCGUUUGACACCAGUGUUGUUUUUCUGAAAAUCAAUUAAAGAACUGUUUAUGCUAAGUUGUUUAGACUUUAUCAGCUAACUGUUUAGUUUUGAGCUUUUCUUUAAUGCACUUUUCAGUUAACAAGUCAACAUCAAUUUCUUUUGCUGUAAAAAAGCUUGAGGAAGGUGGCUUGAGAUUCGUCUUAAGUGUUUAUAGCCUCUUGCCUAUGCAGUCGGAGAGAUUGAGGUCUGCAGCGUAGAUCCUUCGGGGCUAAAUGCAUUUGUGCUAAGUUAUAGCAUUUUAUAGACAACUUGUUGACUAUGAUUUGUCUUGUAGCUUACUCGCUUAUGUUAUUUUACCUACGCUUAGGAUGUUGAAUCUGUGCGAGACUAC
rnacentral:rRNA from 1 species